rnacentral:rRNA from 1 species
GACGAACGCUGGCGGCGUGCUUAACACAUGCCAGUCGAACGGAAAGGCCCUGCUUUUGUGGGGUGCUCGAGUGGCGAACGGGUGAGUAACACGUGAGUAACCUGCCCUUGACUUUGGGAUAACUUCAGGAAACUGGGGCUAAUACCGGAUAGGAGCUCCUGCUGCAUGGUGGGGGUUGGAAAGUUUCGGCGGUUGGGGAUGGACUCGCGGCUUAUCAGCUUGUUGGUGGGGUAGUGGCUUACCAAGGCUUUGACGGGUAGCCGGCCUGAGAGGGUGACCGGCCACAUUGGGACUGAGAUACGGCCCAGACUCCUACGGGAGGCAGCAGUGGGGAAUAUUGCACAAUGGGCGGAAGCCUGAUGCAGCAACGCCGCGUGUGGGAUGACGGCCUUCGGGUUGUAAACCGCUUUCGCCUGUGACGAGGCGUGAGUGACGGUAAUGGGUAAAGAAGCACCGGCUAACUACGUG